AGCAGCCGCGGUAAUUCCAGUUCCAAUAGCGUAUAUUAAAGUUGUUGCAGUUAAAAAGCUCGUAGUUGAAUUUCGGGGUUCUACCGUUGGUCGGGCUUUGCCUGUACUGGCGUGUAGAAUUUCUACCUUCUGGGGAACCAUCAUGUUAUUAAUUUAACGUGGUGGGAAACCAGGACCUUUACCUUGAAAAAAUUAGAGUGUUCAAAGCAGGCUUAUGUCUGAAUACAUUAGCAUGGAAUAAUAGAAUAGGACGGUGGUCCUGUUUUGUUGGUUCCUGAAUCACCGUAAUGAUUAAUAGGGAUAGUUGGGGGCAUUAGUAUUCAAUUGUCAGAGGUGAAAUUCUUGGAUUUAU
rnacentral:rRNA from 1 species